rnacentral:misc_RNA from 1 species
CCGAGUUCUCGAGCUUCGGCUCGACUCUCUCCCACCCUUUGUGAACGUACCUCUGUUGCUUUGGCGGCUCCCGGGGCCUCGCGCCCCGCGUCCGCCAGAGGAUCCUUUAAAACUCCAGUCAGUAAACGUCGGCGUCUGAUAAACAAGUUAAUGAAUUA